rnacentral:tRNA from 1 species
UGGGUCGUUAGCUCAGUUGGUAGAGCGUCUGCCUUACACGCAGAAUGUCGGCGGUUCGAAUCCGUCACGACCCACCAA